rnacentral:rRNA from 1 species
CGAUCAGUAGGGGUUCUGAGAGGAAGGUCCCCCACACUGGAACUGAGACACGGUCCAGACUCCUACGGGAGGCAGCAGUGAGGAAUAUUGGUCAAUGGGCGAGAGCCUGAACCAGCCAAGUAGCGUGCAGGAUGACGGCCCUCCGGGUUGUAAACUGCUUUUAGUUGGGAAUAAAAAAAGGGACUUGUCCCUUCUUGUAUGUACCUUCAGAAAAAGGACCGGCUAAUUCCGUGCCAGCAGCCGCGGUAAUACGGAAGGUCCAGGCGUUAUCCGGAUUUAUUGGGUUUAAAGGGAGCGUAGGCGGAUUGUUAAGUCAGCGGUUAAAGGGUGUGGCUCAACCAUGCAUUGCCGUUGAAACUGGCGAUCUUGAGUGCAGACAGGGAUGCCGGAAUUCGUGGUGUAGCGGUGAAAUGCUUAGAUAUCACGAAGAACUCCGAUCGCGAAGGCAGGUGUCCGGGCUGCAACUGACGCUGAGGCUCGAAAGUGUGGGUAUCAAACAGGAUUAGAUACCCUGGUAGUCCACGCGGUAAACGAUGGAUGCUCGUUGUCGGCCUUUAUGGUCGGUGACCAAGCGAAAGCGUUAAGCAUCCCACCUGGGGAGUACGCCGGCAACGGUGAAACUCAAAGGAAUUGACGGGGGCCCGCACAAGCGGAGGAACAUGUGGUUUAAUUCGAUGAUACGCGAGGAACCUUACCCGGGCUUGAAUUGCAGAGGAAGGAUUUAGAGAUAAUGACGCCCUUCGGGGUCUCUGUGAAGGUGCUGCAUGGUUGUCGUCAGCUCGUGCCGUGAGGUGUCGGCUUAAGUGCCAUAACGAGCGCAACCCUUCUCCUCGGUUGCCAUCGGGUAAUGCCGGGCACUCCGUGGACACUGCCAUCGUAAGAUGUGAGGAAGGUGGGGAUGACGUCAAAUCAGCACGGCCCUUACGUCCGGGGCUACACACGUGUUACAAUGGCCGGUACAGAGGGAUGGUGUAAUGCAAAUUGCAUCAAAUCUUGAAAGCCGGUCCCAGUUCGGACUGGGGUCUGCAAC